rnacentral:lncRNA from 1 species
UACCCACCCAAGGCCUUGCACCACCUUCCUCUACAGUCCUUCUGCGGUUGCACUGUUGCAUUGGGCUCUACUCAUUCAUCAUGAUAACCACAGCUUGACUUCAAGCUCCCCAGGUGCAGAGACCAUGUCUGUUUGGUGCACCCUGUAGCCCAGGACCCAGCGUAGGACCUGACUCCUGCAGGUGCACAGCAGAUGUUUGCUGAGCAUAUGUAGGCAUGCGUGAGAGGCCGAUGGAUGCUCUAGACUCAGGAGCACAAGCUGGUAGAGUUGGCUUCCACAAGAAGAAAAUGCAAGCUUGGACCUCUUCCCUGCUGCUGCUCCACACCCACCCAAAUCCUGGCUGCACUGAACCCACUCCAGGCAUAACCAGCAACUCAAUGACCCAGCCGGUAGACUCCUCAGACCGAGACACUCCAGCAAACACAAUCUAGAAAAGCUAGGCUUCCCAUUCUGGACACUGGCCCAACGGUUAUCGAGGGCCUUGGGAUGUGCAAACAAUGUCAUUUCUCGAAUCAGAUGGUGCAGCUGGUUUGGUAAAUGCAGAAUUAACCUUGACCCACACGGUCCUGUUGGCCAGGCACAGACCGAAGGCCACUCUCCAGAUGACCCCCUUCUCUUCUGGUCCAGGACUGAGCAGUUACCUGGAGAUAUCACAGGUUUGCGUUUUCUUGUUUUUGUCUGUUUCCAGAAGGACUGUGGUCCAGUCAUUCCGAAUAUUAGUGGCUUAAAGCAACACUCGGCGACCAUGCUCCAGAGUGUCUGUGGGUCAGGAGUCCAGAAGCAGCUUGGCUGGGCUGCUGGAGCUCUCUUGUGAGUUGCAGUCAGCAUGUCAGCUGGGCUGCCAUCAUCUGAAGGCGUGACUGGGCUGGAGAACCCACUUCCGAGGGGUCUCGCUCAUGUGGCUGGCAAGUCGGUGCUGGCUGUUGGCUGGGAGGCCUCAGUGCCUCUCGUUCUGGGCCUCCCACAGGGCUGAGUGUCUGCAGACGGUUUCGCUGGAGCCACGGCAGAAGUAGCAAUCCUGUUACCACCAGCCCUGCAAGCCCCCACAGCCACUUCCGACACAUUCUGUCCGCAGUACAGACCGACCUGAUUUAAUGUGGAAGGGGGAUGUGAAUACCAGGGAUGCACAUCACCAAGGGCUGCCGAUUGGAGCCCGGCUACCACAGGCUGAGGCUGCAGCGCCCCACCUGCUUUUGUCCAACCCCAGGUUCGCUGGGAGUUCCCACUGUGGCUCAGUGGGUUAAGGGCCUGACAUUUUUCUGUGAUGAUGUGGGUUCCAUCCCUGGCCUGGCUCAGUGGGUUAAGGAUCCAGUGUUGCUGUAAGCUGUGGCAUAGGUUGCAGAUGAGGCCUGGGUCUGGUGUUGCUAUGGCUGUGGUGUAGGCUGCAGCUGCAGCUCCAAUUCGACCCCUGGCUCGGGAAUUUCUGUAUGACACAUGUGCAGCCCUAGAAAGAAAAAAAAAAAAAAAAAAUUCCAAUGACACUUUCACGUGAGGCUCCACAAACCAAGAUAGCAAAGCCUAAAGAGAAUAUCCAGGUUGAUUCAUUAGCCUGUUCAGGAGUUUGCCCACUAUCACAAUAUAAAGCUACAUUUCGCUUAUUCAAUUAUGCUUUAAAGUAACUGCCUCACAACUGGACCAUUCAAGACUGUUCCUCUGAGGUUUUUCUUUUCUUCUUCUUCGUAUAAAACAAAAUCAGUAGAAAUAUCUUUAGCUUUUUGGCUCUUCGGAAGUAGGUCCCCUGGAAUCAUCCACAGAAUACACCCCACUUCCAAUCCCACCCUCCAUCAGGAAAGCCUUCAUGGAGCGGUGGGUGUAACUUCGCAGUUACGCCCCCACAGGCUCUUGGGAUGGCUCCACCGUGCUCUGUGGGCUACAUGCCACCCUUAUGCUGAAGAAUUCAUCAAGAUGGGGUUGGAGUGAAUGAAACAGGGCAUGGGCUAUAAUGAUGACACGGAACCUGACCCAAUAAAGCAGCGGG